AUUGAACGCUGGCGGCAUGCUUUACACAUGCAAGUCGAACGGCAGCGGGUCCUUCGGGAUGCCGGCGAGUGGCGAACGGGUGAGUAAUGCAUCGGAACGUACCGUGUAAUGGGGGAUAACGUAGCGAAAGUUACGCUAAUACCGCAUACGCCCUGAGGGGGAAAGCGGGGGAUCGCAAGACCUCGCGUUAUACGAGCGGCCGAUGUCGGAUUAGCUAGUUGGUGGGGUAAAGGCCCACCAAGGCGACGAUCCGUAGCGGGUCUGAGAGGAUGAUCCGCCACACUGGGACUGAGACACGGCCCAGACUCCUACGGGAGGCAGCAGUGGGGAAUUUUGGACAAUGGGCGCAAGCCUGAUCCAGCCAUGCCGCGUGAGUGAGGAAGGCCUCGGUUGUAAGUAC
rnacentral:rRNA from 1 species